UUUGAUCAUGGCUCAAAACGUACGCUGGCGGCACGCCUACCACUUGCAAGUCGAACGCAGUAGCAAUACUGAGUGGCAAACGGGUGAGUAACAUGUGGGAAUCUGCCUUGUGGUUCAGGACAACAUUGGGAAACCGAUGCUAAUACUGGAUAAGCCCUUACGGGGAAAGUUUUAAUGCCAUAAAAUGAGCCCGCAUUUGAUUAGUUAGUUGGUGAGGUAAUGGCUCACCAAGACAAUGAUCAAUAGCUGAUCUGAGAGGAUGAUCAGCCACACUGGGACUGAGACACGGCCCAAACUCCUACGGGAGGCAGCAGUGGGGAAUCUUGCACAAUGGAGGAAACUCUGAUGCAGCGAUGCCGCGUGAGUGAAGAAGGCCUUUGGGUUGUAAAGCUCUUUUGUAGGGGAAGAUAAUGACUGUACCCUAAGAAUAAGGUCCGGCUAACUUCGUG
rnacentral:rRNA from 1 species